rnacentral:lncRNA from 1 species
GGAGUUGCUGGAAGUAAGACUCAGAAGCACAUCAGGACCCCUAAGACUGUGACCCCCAGGAGUUUCUCACUCUCUAAUUAGUUCACAUUCACCUCCAGAAAUUCAUCAAAAUUAUCAUUUUACUGUUUUUACCAGUUGUUGACUCCAGCAGCUUCUGCUUCAGUAAAUCUUACUGCUGCUCACUUUUUGGGUCCACACUGCGUUUAUUAGCUGCAACGCUCACCGCUAUGGUCUGCAGCUUCACUCCUGAAGCCAGCGAGACCACGAACCCACCAGAAUGAAGAAACUCCGAACACAUCCAAACAUCAGAAGGAACAAACUCCGGACAGGCGGCCUUUAAGAACUGUAACACUCACCUCGAGGGUCUGCGGCUUCAUUCUUGAAGUCAGUGAGACCAAGAACCCACCAAUUCCGGACACAAUGUUACUCCAGAUAAUCAGCGCCAUUUUCUGAAGCUUGAGAUGCAGGAAAAGAGGAGUGCUAUCCAUUAGAUGGAGACAGGAAGUAGAAAAAGAGCUUAAAGUUUUGGCUUGUGUUACUUCCUUGGGGAGAUCUUGCUGGACCACAUCAGGAAUAGGAGGGGUGUGUCCCCACAGCACUGUGUACACGAUGGAGAAACCAAGUCUUUGAAAUCUUGAGAAACUUGCUCACAGUAUAUAUAGAUGUUAAGUGGCACGUUUGGUGAAUGAAUCCACGAUGAUGUUCCAAGCUUAUGCUCAAUAUUUGAAUGAUACAGGGGACAAGUGAAGAGGAGGGAGGCAGGUCAUAUACCCUAGGCCGUAAAGGAGGGGAGUGGAAUCAAGGAAGAUGCAGCAGAAAAGAAGACUUUGAAAGCACUUAAAAGAAGACUUUGAAGGAUCUUAGGGAGCUUGGAUGGUGGAACCAUGAGAAGAGCACAGAGAAGUUGGUGAGGAUAAUUCCCCCCCUUCUCCAUAUUCUAGAGCUGACAACUCCAGCUUGUGUCAGGGUAAUCAAAAGAAGAGACAAUUUAUUGCAGCUCCUACCAUGUGCCAAGCAGGCACCUACCUAAUACCCUAGGGGCAUUAACUCUUUUAACCCUUGCAACAGCCCUGUGAGGUAGCUACAGUUACAAGCCCCAGUUUAGAGGAAGAAACUGAGGAACAUAAAAGAUUGUCCUGGAAUGCCCCACCAGCAUCAAUGACUUGGUUCUCUUCCCUGGCCCUGAAGGAGUGGGCCACUUUCCAGACACGUCCCAGGCAGCAGUCCUGCUCCGUGACACUGUCAAGAAGAGAGGAGCCUCAGGAAAAGUCACAGACAUAAACAAGAUAAAGCCUGUGACCUUCUAGGACACUUUGGCCUGUGGACCACAGAACUGUCAAUGGCCCAGCCCUUGCUCUGAUAAGGGAGGGCAGGAACAUUCCAGGAGAUGCAUUUGUCUCAAGCCCUCAAAGGCUGAGCAUCCCCGAGAAUCUGGCAGAGAGAGAGAGGACGGGGGAGGCUGGUGGGAGGAUCUCUCCAGGGCGUGGAGCCAGCCCCACUGCCCUUGCUAUCCCUUCAGCCCAGAUAUGGGGCAAGAAAUUCAGGCCAACUCAGCAAACAUGUACCUGGCAGCUCCUUCCUGCCUGGCACUGCUAGGGGCAGAGUGCUGGAGGAGAUGGGAGGGCAAGGAUCCCAGGUUGCAGGGGCUCAGAAAGGUGGAGGGAGAUGUGGAUAUCAAUUGCCUGCAUGGAAAAUGAGGGGACAAAGGACAGGCUUUAGUGCUCUGAGGAAGGAGGCAGUCAUUCUGUCUGAGGUUGUGGGAGUCUAGGAAUAUUUAUUUCCUAGAGAACGAGGCCCCUAAGUAGGCCGUAAAGUUAACCAUGACUUUGACAGGUGGAGGGGUCAGAGGAGAGCAUUCCUGGCACAGAUUGGUAUGUUCAAAAGCAUGGAGGAAGACAAUUGCAGAUGUGUUUCAGUUCAUGCAAAGGCCCCUGGAAGGUUGCAAUGGAAGAUGAAGCUAGAAAGAUCAGGGCUGCAGUAGGAGGGGCCUUGACUCCCUGGGAAAGGGUGUGAAACUAUCCUAUAGGAAUAGGAGCCAGGGCUGCCUCUCCGGUAGGGCAGAAACAGUACCAGCUGGGCUUCACAUGGAGGAAGGAGGGGUGGAAGGGGAGCAGACAGGGCCAGUGGAGGGGAUGUAAUAUUCCAAGUUAGAGGUGGUGAGGCCUGAAUUCCGGUAGCAGCCAUGGGAUUUCUGGAAAAAGUUGCAGAUUGUUUUCUUGCUCCUCUUUUAAGACAGUUAUUAGCAGCUGUGGGGCCACCUGAGUGUGUACUGAGCACUUGGGAAACAGGUCCUGAACCAGAAAGAGUGUCCAGGUACAAGUCUACAUCCCAUACCUUGUCAGGCAGAAGUUAGUAGGAAACCCUGCAGCCCAGCCAGAUAAAGGCGUGGCUUCCAGAAUGCCCUGGAACUGCCUGGGUGAUCCUUUUAAAACAUGAAUAUAAACAUGUCUUCAUCCUCCUUAAAACCCUUCGCUGUUUCCACGUCACUCUCAGAAUGAAGUCCAAGCUCUUUGGCUUGGUGUUUAAAGCUUCAUCAAGCCUGUGCUUAUACCUCUGUCAUCCCAUCUCUGUAGUGUAGGGCAGGGAUCCAAACACUUGUCUGCAUGUUCAAAUUCACCUGGAGAUCUUUUAGAAUGUCUAAAGCACAGCCCAGCACCCAGACCAAUUAAACCACAAUUUCUGGGAUGGGACCUAGUUGCUCAGGUGACCCCAGAGAAGCUAGAAACCCAGGUAUAGGGCCUACAUCCUAAGCUCCAGUCAUACCAGAUGUAUUAGCUAGCUGUUUCCAUCACAGACCACUUCAAAUUCGUGGUGGCUUACAAAAAAUAUUGAUUACCAUGCUCACAGAAAUGCAGAUCAUCUGUGAUUUGGCAGGUAAAUGCUGGUGGCAGUUCUGCUUCAGGCUUCGGGGUCAGCUGGGGUUGACUCUAGGCUGACUCUAGACAUUGCAUUCUAGACAUUGCAUUGAGGGAAUUCUACAGAUCUCUCAUAUUUCUGGGAGCUACAUCUUUCCCUGCAGCAAAUUUUCAAGGUAUUGAUAGAAGUGCACGUGCCCCUUAAGAUCUUAGAUUUUAGCUGGCAACCCCUCACUUAACUCACAUCCCAUUGGUCAAAACAAGUCCCAUGGUCAAGGCCAACAAUGAUGGGGCAGGAAAACAGACUCUGCUCACUCUCCUGUUCUGCAAGUCACAUGGCAGGAAGGAGUGAGGAACUAGAAUAAUCCACUCCAUCUCACAGGUAAUCUUGUGACCUUGAAUGGGUCGCGUCUAUGAACCCCAGUUUCCUUACCUGGAGAAUGAGAUAGUUGCCCUGGAUGCCCACUUACAUGACCGCCCCUCCCAGCUCUUCUCAUCCACAAAGACCUUUGCACAUGUAUGCACAGCCACCCACUUGUGCCCAUACUACACAUUUAAAUCAUGACUAUUAUUUUUAAAUACUUGUUGAUUUUCAAAAUGCUUCACAUACUCACACAGGCCAUAUACUCAUCUGCAGAUACAGAUCCUUGCAUUCUCAGUCCUACACAUACAUAUAUACUUACUUUUCAAACACACACGUUUAUGUGCACAUGUUCCCACAUUUAUACAAAUGCACACAGAGGCACCUAUGUGCCGGUGUGCACUCGCUCAGCCAUACUCACACAUGCCACAUGGAUUCUCAGACAUGUUUAGUUACAAACAGUCUCCCCCACCCUUCUCACCCUCACACACUGGCUCACUCACACAUAUAUUCUAUACCUCUCCGCACAGCUGUUUAAUCAGAAUCAGGGCCUGCUGAUGAGGCUGUUGUCUGGCGCUCAGGGAGCUGCUUUAACUCUUUGCUGCCCCCAUAAAGGCUGGCUGUACUAUGUGCCCUCCAUCUGCAGACCCCGGGGAACAAAAAGGCCACAGAAGAGUCAGGCGGAGAUGCUUAAUCUGCAGGAUUGGAGCUCAUCUGGUGCCACAGGGCCAGGGAGAGGGUGCAGAAGACACAGGGACAGACAGCACUCUGGACCCUCUGAAUUCACUCUGUGCUUUCUCCUCCUGGCUGCAUCUCCCUCAUGUCCCAGGUAUCUUCAGUAGGAUAACCAAAAAAAAAAAAAAAAAAAGAAUCAUCCAAACCAAGACAGUGUUGAGAGCGAAAGGGACACUAACAACAAUUACACUGAAUUACCUGAGAUUGUCACAGGCAAGCAGCAAAUGCCUGGUCCCUACUCAUGAGAGACCAGAUAUUGUGGACUUGCCCUGAGCUCCUGUUUCAGCCCAACUCAAGGACAGUCCCGGUUGAAAGGAACUUUCAGGUAGAAUUCCCUCAUUUUGCAGUUGAAGGCCCAGAGAGAAGCUGGGACUUGCCUGAGGUGACACAACAAGUUAGUAACAAAACAGUGUAUAGAACUAAGUUUUUCAAUCUUCCAGGCUAGAGUUCUCCGUGGUCUUAGGUGCAGCUCCUGGGAAACUGGCUGAAACUGUGGGAUUAGCAUGCAAGGGUUCACUGAGGAGUACUUGAGGAAAGAAAGCAGGACAGAGCAGAGGGACAGCAGCCUCAGCAGAGGUCAUGGGGAGCUCUGGAGCUGAGAGGGUUCUUCAAGGUUGUCCCAAAUGAAUCUAUGGGCCGAGGCUUUGUGCCUCCAGCGAGAGGACGUGAUGUUGGGUGGGGCAGUACCCUGCAGCUGAGAGCAACCCCCAGGGAGGGAUGCAACAGCCUGUCAACUAAGGGAGACAGUGCCUUGGUCCUCCAGGGGAGGUGGGCAGCACACCAUGGCAUCCACCACAUCCUGCUGUUAGCUUGUGUUAAACAAGCUACCUGCAGCCCCAGCCCCCCAGAGGCCUGUUUGUACCUGGGCAGCAGUUGUAUUGGCAUUCAUUUCACUGGCUCCACAGGGGGUCCUGGAAGGAAAUUGCUGGGGAGGAGGCCACCUGGCUGAGGCUGCUCCUGAGACUGACCAGUGCGUUCCUUGUGGAGCCCGAGCUUCCUGCCAGCCCCAGCACGGCCAUCUCUGCAGCUUUGCAGCUGCAUUCUUCACACCCAUCAGAAGUCACUGUUGCUUACUUUAUUUUUCCACUUCUUCGAUCCUUCUACAUGUGGUCCAAGGGAGUUUCCUGUCUAACUCAGCCAGGGAACAGGGGCAGCUAGCAGAGAGCCAAAAGGGGGCACCUGGGCAUGAGUUAAGAGGGCAUCUGUGGCAAGCCCAUUACACAGCUAAAGAGAACAAUCUCAAUGAGAAGACUCAGGCUUCUUUAUGAAGGAGGGACACAUUUCCCAUGGGCUGUGGAGUCCAGCAAUCCUGACUUCCAGUCUUAGCUCUGCUGCCUACCUACGGAGGCACUUUACACACACUUCCAGGCGUGAAAAAAAAAAAAUUUCAGCAAAUUAAAUUUAACAAAGUUUAGUUGAGCCAAGAACUAUUCGCAAAUCGAGCCCCCUCAGAACCAGGAAACGGAACGGAAGUGAGGCACAGCAACAGCUUCACUGGUUACAGCUCAGCAUUGGCCGUAUUUGGAUGUGGUGUGAUGAGUUGACUGCCCGUGAUUGGCUGAACCUCAGCAUCUUGUUAUUGGCUGAGACACAACUACUUGUCACAAAAAAUGCAUACUCCUAAAUUAGGCUUUUAUUCUGUUUACGUACUAAGUAAGGUGCAGUUUGUUAUGUAAAUACUCAAGGUACUGAGGCAUCUUCAGGCCAACUUUAGUUAAAUUUAACACAAGCUACCUAGAACUUAGGGAUGGCUCUCUAUAUACAGUAGAGCAUUGUAAGAAUGUAAUGAGGUAACCUGGGAAUAGGAAAGGGAUCUGCAACGUGCCAGCACUCUGCUAAGCACGCAGCACCCACAGCCUCCCUUAUCCCUAUCACAAGCCUGCAAGGUGAGUACCCAGGAUCCCAUUUUACAGAUAAACAAGCUUGCCCCAGGGCCCAGAUCCAAGCUCAACCUGACAUUGUAUGAUUGGUUGCCAGCAUUCUCUGCAGAUUAGUCUUGACAAGGGCCAGUUUCUUACUCCAGUAAAGCAGGAAUUAAAAAGAAAAUAAAAAAAGAAAACACUGGAGCAGUGCUUGACAUUUCACUAUGUUUCCAUCAUAUUGGGUGAAGGCAUCAAGAAGAGCAAAAAUCCUCCUCCUUAAAAACUCAAGAAUUUCAGUGCCAAAAAAAUGACUGUGGAAUUUUUCCAUAAACACACACACACACACACACACACACACACACACACACACACACACACACACACACACACCGUGUUAGUUUUUUCCUGAGGAUCCUGCAGAAUUGCUUUUCACAAAAGACGGCUAACAGCACAGAGCUCUUCUGGAGAGCAGAUUAAAUGAAUUGUCCAGUUUUGGGUGGAAGGCUGUCCAACUUUCCCAGUCAUCAGUGGAAUGCUGGCUGGGUUGAUGUAGGGGUUACUUGGGGGUUAUUGACAACUCCCCAAAUGAGUCUAGCAAACUCGUUUGUGCCAGGCUUCAACUAGGGAGCUCACAGUCUCCUGGGGAAAAUGGACAUAAAAACAGGAAAUUACAAUAUGUAAGUAAUAUUAUAACAAGAAGUAAUAGAAUCAAAUACAAAGUCCCCAGAUAACUUGGAGGUGGUGUCAGCUCUGUCGUGGAGGCUCAAGGAAGAUUUGCUGAAAGAAGUAUCACAAAUCCAGGUUUUGAAGGAUGAACAGGAGUUUUUAGGAGCUACCACCUACUUUUAAUGAUUUUUCUAUUUAGAGAGUGGAGAAAAGAAAGAAGAGGAAGGGUGCUUACAUGUACUACAUGCUAUUUGCCAGACUGCAUUCGACACUUUGCACGUUUGCACAUUUAAUUCUCACGAUAACCUUGUCAGAUGGGGUUUUCACAGGCAAGAAACUUAGGAUCAAAAAGGGUAAGCUGAGCAAUUUACUCAAGGUCACACAGCUACCAAGUGCUGGGGCCAGAAAUCCAUCCCAGUUCUUUUGGCUCCAAAUCCCUGGCUCUUUCCCUGCUGCUGGCUUCUGUAGCCCAUAGGAGCUGUACAUUCAUGGAGUUUAUCUGUGGCAUACUGUGCAGUUUUUGAGUUGGUUAGAAUAAUGUAAAAUCAUUAGGAACUGAUUUAGCAACUGGUCAUAUCUACAGUCAACCCUACAAAAUUCCCUCAUCUGUUCACAGAAACUAUAAGUCUUCAAAGUACUGUCCCAUCUACCCAUUCCUCAGCCCAGCCCUGCAACUUGAACAGGAAGGUCCAUUGCCUGGUAAGUCAAGAGCAGAGCCAGGGGAACUAGAAUCUUCAAUUUCUUGGUUCCCACUGCAGGGCUCUAUGAGUGACACUAUGUUAUACGUAUCUUGUCCCUUUCAUAUCUCUGGUGCUGUAAGGAAGUACCUUCAGGUACUCCAGAUCCUGGGUACCUUCUGUAUCCUCCUUAACAUAAAGUCACUUAACAUAGGACUGAGAUUGAGUGUAUUUCUUUUCAUAAAGAGGUGUGGCUUGAAUUCCUGUGCUGACCACUCCUGACUUGUGUGACCUUGAGCCAAGUUACCUAACCCUUUAGACUUUAAAUCAUCUGAGAAAUAGGGCCAUAAGUUUGGAGAAGUCCUACCUUUGUACAAAAUAACUGGGGCGAUGUUUCGGCACUUACUGGGUACACAAAAUACCUGGUACUUACUAGGUGCUCAGUAGAUGUGAGUUUACUUUCCUUUAUCCUUUGAAGAGCUGUACCUGUGUCCAGGGUUAACCUCACUCCAUCAGGACCUAGACAUCCCUACAAAAUUAGGGAUUUUACUUCCCUUUGUGGUAAUUAACUAUAUAUUGUACAUUCUAUAUCCAAAGUCACAGAGCAGAUCCACAGUUUUCAAACUGGGUUCGAAGAAGCCCUGAGGUCCUGCGAGGCGGUUCAAGGGUGAUGGAUGUCAGUGGUCAGGCCUUCAGACCACCCCCUCCCAAUUCAACAAAGGCAGAAUCUCUUUUAUAUCUUUUAUAUGUUGGGCUCUCAAGUAGAAUUUCAUUUUAAGAAUGAAAUUGAGUGUUGAAAAUAGAAAAUUGCAAACCUCUGUUGGAGAGUAAUAGAAAGUUUAAUGUGUGAUCUUUGCAUUGCAAACCAGGUUGCUUUCUCCCUUAUGUCUCUUCCCUCCUCGUCUUUUUUUUUUUUUUUUUUUUUUUUGAGAAGGAGUCUUGCUCUGUCCAGCAGUGGUGCCAUCUUGGCUCACUGCAACCUCCACCUCCCAGGUUCAAGCAAUUCUCCUGCCUCAGCCUCCUGAGUAGCUGAGAUUACAGGCACAUGCCACCACCCUCAACUAAUUCUUGUAUUUUUAGUAGAGGUGGGGUUUCACCAUGCUGGUCAGGCUGAUCUCGAACUCCUGACCUUGUGAUCUGCCUGCCUCGGCCUCCCGAAGUGCUGGGAUUACAGACAUGAGCCACCACGCCCAGCCCCUCCUGGUCUCCUUAAUGACAAAAGCCCAGCUUCUACCCUGCUCACUGCCCCACCCCCAACAUUCAGACCAGUCACAAGAAGGAAAACCAGUUAACAAGGACCUGGAGAAGCUACAACGUACUUGGACUUCCAGUCUUUAAAUGGACCGUUUUUGUCUCAGCCUGGCUAGGAAGUCUUGGCUGAUGUGGUCUAGAGACAGGAAAGCAAGGUAAUUUGGGGCCUAAAAUGACAAAAUGAGGGCAGAGAAAAGUGUUGAAAAUGAAUGACUGCGGAAAGGAAAGAAAUAUUCUGACAUGCUCCUCUUCCUAUCUGACACCCAGUGAGAUGGAGAACACGUUGACUUUGGAGCCAAGAAAGCUGAGUUCAAAUUCUGAGCCUGCCCAAUGUGUAACUAUGUGAUCUUGAACAAGCCAUUAACUCCUUCCAGUCUUAUUUCCUCAUCUACAGAAUGGGAAUAGUAUUGCUGUCACAGGACUAAUAUGAGUGUAUAUCACAUGUAUGUAAAAAGCAUAUGUGAGAUAUUGAAUGAAAAACAAUUGAUGCCUGCUAGAUGUCACUGAAUAAACAUCAGUCCCCCUUCUCCAUCCAGCUACCAUAUUUUCCAGCCCAUACAUUGAGACACUGGGUUAUGGUAAAUAUUGAAUUAAAUGAUGUAAAUCAAUUCCUAAUGCAACUCCUGGCACACAGUAGGUGUUUAAUAAAUGCUAUCUUCUCCACAAGCUUCCCUCCUUCUGCACAACAUAUUUGCAGCAACUGCCAUCCUGAUCACCUCAUGCUUGGGUUACUAACUCAGCCCCCCUAGUGGGGUCCCCUGUCCCAGAGCCCUGUUCCUGUCUCCCUGGCAUGUGCAGUCACCCUAAUCUUCCCCUAAACAAAUGAACAAAGCAAGACAAAUGGCAAAGCUCCACUAACAACAAGCUAUUCAGUUCCAGCAUUAUCUGAUUUAAUUCUCCAUUUUUGUUUCAGAUCAAUCUGUAAGAUCAGUGUUAAUAGCUCUCCCUACCCCUUGUAAUGAUAAUCUCAGGCUCAAAGAAGUAAGCAAUUUCAGCUCCUCACCUUUGUGGGGGCGUAGCUAAGGUGUGAGAUCCCAUCAGAUCUGUCUGCAACCAAAGACUCUUCUGCAACAUUAACUGUUCUCUGAAGUGGUCUGGCUGGGCACUGAGAGUGGAGAGACCUGGAUUCUAGCGCUGGCUCACCAUUGGUUCAUGGCGCAUGAGCCCAUUUCCUCCUCUAAAAAUGAGGAGAGUCCCUUCCUUUCUUACCCCAUAUGUCUGCACUCAGGUUUCAGGGCCAAUUUCAGAUGGGCCAUAUGCUCUCUGUCCUCUGUACCUUUGCCCAAGCUGUCGCCUGCUCCUCAGUCACCUCCCUCAUUGCCCUGUGUCUACCUGUUUAAGAAUUAAGCUCUAAGAUUCUACUCUAUCAUCCCUCACCUCCUUCAGAAAGCCUUCCUAGACCAGCCCAGGCAGAAUCAGGUGCUCCUCCUCUAGGCUUUCAUAGCCCUGCAUCUAAACCACAACUGUGACCUUUUUUUCCUGGUAUAUACCUUUGAUUAUAGGACUGUCUCCUAGUAGAUAGACUGGGAGCUCUCGUUUAUCUCAUUUAUCUUUAUACCCAUGUCUGUCACAGAAUAAUUGCUCAGAUAAUACUUGUGGAAUGAAUGCAUUAAUGAAUGAAUGAAGAGAGAGAGCAAGGGAGAUCGAAAGAGCAUCAUUGAAUGAGUUCAGGGUUUUGUUCGGUCCCAGCUUCAGAGUCCAUUUCUUAAGAAUAAUUAAUUCUUGCAGUUCUUCCACUGCUGACGUUGUGCCUCCAUGGGGGUCAAUGGCCCUAUGCCCUAGCAUCUUAUCCCUAUACCAUGUAAUCUGGGUCUGAUGCUGGAAUUUGGGCUUAGAGCUUGGCUCCAAGUCUCUGUGACAGGGCUCUGCCCUGCCUCCAGCCCCCAUCCAGGACAUGGGCCCUCUCUUACCCUGGCCAGCCUGUUUCAGGCCAAGGAACUCCAUUCCUCUCCCCAGCUCCUGUUCUCUCCCUCUCACCUGCUUCCCUGGCUGGUGAUAGGGCCUGCCUCCUGCCCAUCAGGGCUUCUUAGAUUACAACUAUCAGCCUAAUUUCCCCACUUCUGUGUCCCACCCACUUACUAGGUCAGCCUUCCCACUAUAGUUGGGAGAUGGUGACAUCCUCAUGUGUCAGGCUUUUCCUGAUAUCGGGAGCCCCUCAUGUCAGCUCCUAUCCCUGGGUCAGAUGCCCUGACAUAUGCCCAGCCCUUCAGACAGCUCCAGGUCAGUGUCCAAUCCCUUUCUGCCUGCCAGGGAGCAUCUGGACAUGCCUAGCCAAAUCCUGAGAUGGGCUGGGAGGAGGCAGUCAGCCCUGGAGAUCAUUUCCAGUGAAGGCCCAGCCUGCAGGUGGGCACACAUGGUGGGUGUUCAGGUUUGAGGAGGCCUUGGAAAAUGAAAGAUCGCAUGUGGUGCAAACCUCAGGCUAUGUGCCUUUGGACAACUCAUUUUAUCCCUCUGUGCCAAAGAGUUUUUGUUUGCAAAUUGGAGAUAAGAACACAUAAUAGCUACCUCAGAGGACUGUUGUGAAGAAUAAAUAGGAUAAUGCAUAUCAACCUCAAGGCCUGGUACAUGAUGAGCCCUCAGUAAACGUGAGCCCUUUUCCAUGUCACUAUAGCUGUUGUCAUUAUUGCUCUUGUUGCUGCUAUUGUCAUUAAGAAGAGUGGGCUGCAUCCUCAGGUACAUCUCCUGUGCUGUUUCUUUUCCUCAAACCACUCAUUAAUAUUCUGAAGACUAAGUCAGGGAGGCAGUAGCAACACACCAGGCUUAAAAUUAAUCAAGUUCCCUUCAGUCCAAAUGAACUUUUCUCACCGAUUCUCAGAUCUUCGGCAUCUUGCUACUGGGUGCAUUUUUUCUACAUAAUGAAGUUUGGGCAGUGCUGGCUCCUGCCUAGUCCCUGACUGUGACCUCCAUGCAGUCACAGCUGUUCUCAGGCGCUGCGCUUCAAGUUCCCCACCCCACAUCGUCUGGCUGCCUUCUCAUCUGGGGUGAUGCGACCCCAGCAGAUUAAUAUGAUGUCCUUGUAAUUCUGCAUCCAAGACACAUGUCACUUUCCUUCAACACAUUUGGAAGGAGGGCAAGUUCUACUUUGUAAGGACCGUCACUUAUUUUGAACUGGAAGAAAAUAAUUUAUUUGGUCAAAAGUUGUUGUGCUUUUCCAUUAAGGGCACAUAUUACCCUUUUGUAAUUGGAAAUGGGGCCAUUUAGAUCCCACAUCGUCUAAUCUCCAAAGUCACUCCAGCACAGGGCUUUCUUCCUCAUUUGAUUUCAAUCAAUCAGUGAAUCCAACAACGAAGAAAAUGCAUUCAAAAAUUAACCAUACCAAGUGAAAGCAGAGGAACGUAUGUUAGCAGGAGUCUCCCAACUCAGGUGUUUCUGUAAGAACCAUUAAAAUACCCCUUAUCUGAGUGGAAAUUCAUUUCUUUCUACUAUAGGAAGACUCCAAGACACUCACUCUAAGACUUGGGCCUGGAUCUAUGUGCAGAAACCCUGCUGAACUUUGCAGUGUCACCCGCCACCCAACUAAGAGGGUCUCCCAGGAUUGUUUUCUAGUUCCCAGUCUGGGCUGUCUGACAUGGCACCCCAACCUGGGUACACAUCUUAGAGGCUCGGCUUUUUGUCAGUGGCAAACUGGAAAUUUCACCACUUAAAUGGAACCACGAAAUCUUAGGCCUUGGGAGAGUAUGUCUGCAGGGCCAUCUUGGUGUGCACCUCUCACUGACCAUUUUCAACAGAUGCCAGAUUCUUGGAUCUGGGAGGGUGGCCCUAGUCCCCAUCUUCAGGCUGUGUUAAAUGGUGAGCUUGAAGGCCAAAGAAAACUGCUUCAGACUUUGAUACCUUAUCAGUAUGACUCAGGGAAGAGAGAGGUUAAGUAACUUGCUCAGAAUCACACAGGUAGUAACUAGCAAAAUUGGACUUUGAAUCCAGGUUUGCAUGACUUUAUAUUAUGCUUUUCUGCAAUGCUGCUGCCUGGAAGGCAGGCUUAGUGCUGCUGAGAUCCUGGUAGAUAUCUGCUUUCCCCAAAGCGGUGAACUUUGCAGGCUACCGCCAGAUCUAUGCCAUCUGCUCACUUCCGAGGGGCUUCUUCAAAUCCCACCAGGUGACCUUAAUGUCCCAAAAUAUUCUUGACACUGAAGCACUCACUUGCAAAGAAAAGCUGGACCCCAACCCCUGUAUUGGACAGACCCUACAGGAAGUUUCCUUAAUAGCCUAAGGAGCAGAGACAGAAAAUGAAAAAUCACUAAGGUAGUGGUAGGCUUACAUCCCAGGGAGGGAGUGCCAUGGCGCACACCUCCUGCAUGGGCUAGGGUUCGCAUUUGUGUUUAAUAACAACUUUGAUCUCUCUGCCAGCAGCAGCGGUCAUUGAGAAAUCCUGACAUAAAGAAGGAAAUGCAGAUGAUAACUCCUGCCUCCAGACCCCUCUCUGAGAUGAUUCUGAGACACAUAUAAAUGGGCUUUGCAAACUGUGGGCAGUAGAUGUGAGAACUCUUCAUCUUCCAGACAGGAUCCAAGGUCCUUUGGAAGGGACAGUGAGCGGACUGCAUCCUGCUUGCAUGAAGACCCUGAUUCCCUCAAAUGUUGAAAGAGGUUGAAUUUACAAAUAAAUUAA